rnacentral:rRNA from 1 species
GAUUGAGUUUGAUCAUGGCUCAGGACGAACGCUGGCGGCGUGCCUAAUACAUGCAAGUCGAGCGGAACCAGUGGAGCUUGCUCCAUCUGGUUUAGCGGCGGACGGGUGAGUAACACGUGGGCAACCUGCCCUGCAGAUCGGGAUAACUCCGGGAAACCGGUGCUAAUACCGAAUAGUUUGCGGCCUCUCCUGAGGCCGCACGGAAAGACGGUUUCGGCUGUCACUGCAGGAUGGGCCCGCGGCGCAUUAGCUAGUUGGUGGGGUAAUGGCCCACCAAGGCGACGAUGCGUAGCCGACCUGAGAGGGUGAUCGGCCACACUGGGACUGAGACACGGCCCAGACUCCUACGGGAGGCAGCAGUAGGGAAUCUUCCGCAAUGGACGCAAGUCUGACGGAGCAACGCCGCGUGAGUGACGAAGGUUUUCGGAUCGUAAAACUCUGUUGUGAGGGAAGAACACGUACCAGCUAACUACUGGUACCUUGACGGUACCUCACCAGAAAGCCACGGCUAACUACGUGCCAGCAGCCGCGGUAAUACGUAGGUGGCAAGCGUUGUCCGGANNUAUUGGGCGUAAAGCGCGCGCAGGCGGUCCUUUAAGUCUGAUG